CACAAUCCAACUCUUAGGACCUAAAUCCGUCAUCAAUGUCUCAAAUCUCAAGGGCUCACAAUCUCGUACCCUUCAGCCUAAACAAUGAUAAUAUGCGUUGUAACAAUGAAUGGUGAAUAGAGACUGAGAUAUAAUAUGGAAAUAAAGAAUCAUGAGUGAGUACAUAAUUACAGUUAAAGCAGAUAACUCAAAACAACAAAGAUGGCCUCAUCAGGUCUCAACCGAAUAAGUGCAUAGCCUAAACAUGAUUCACAGCUCAUAUAAUCAAACAAGAAGGGAGAACAUGGAUAUAACAAGAUAUGACAACAAAACAAGUCUAAUCAUAGUCUAAUAGUCAACUAAAAUCAUUAUUUCCCCGGUGCAUGCCCGCACGCUCAUCACGUAGCAUGUGCAUCAUCUCAAAACAUCUCUUAU
rnacentral:lncRNA from 1 species